CGAGAGGACCGGGAGGGACGAACCUCUGGUGAACCUGUUGUCACGCCAGUGGCACCGCAGGGUAGCUAUGUUCGGAAUGGAUAACCGCUGAAAGCAUCUAAGUGGGAAGCCAGACUUAAGAUAAGUUUUCCCAAGCCUUUUAGGCUUUAAAGACCCCUUCGAGACCAGGAGGUUGAUAGGCGGAGCGUGUAAGCAUAGUAAUGUGUUGAGCUUAUCCGUACUAAUAGGUCGUAAGUUUUCCAAGU
rnacentral:rRNA from 1 species